AGGACGAACGCUGGCGGCGUGCUUAACACAUGCAAGUGGAGCGACGAACCAGGGCUUGCCCUGGGGCAGAGCCGCGAACGGGUGAGUAACACGUGGGUAACGUGCCCCGAUGACUGGGACAACCCGGGGAAACCCGGGCUAAUACCGGAUAUGCCCCCUCACAUCAGUGAGGUGUGUAAAGGAAGCUUCGGCCUCCGCAUCGGGAUCGGCCCGCGGCGCAUUAGCUUGUUGGUGAGGUAACGGCUCACCAAGGCUACGAUGCGUAGCUGGUCUGAGAGGACGAUCAGCCACACUGGGACUGAGACACGGCCCAGACUCCUACGGGAGGCAGCAGUGGGGAAUAUUGGACAAUGGGCGAAAGCCUGAUCCAGCAAUGCCGCGUGAGUGAUGAAGGCCUUGGGUUGUAAAGCUCUUUCGACGGGGACGAUGAUGACGGUACCGUAGAAGAAGCCCGGCUAACUCGUGCCAGCAGCCGC
rnacentral:rRNA from 1 species